GCUGGGCGUGGUGGCAGGUGCCUGUAAUCCCAGCUACUCAGGAGGCUGAGGCAGGAGAAUCGCUUGAACCUGGGAGGUGGAGGUUGCAGUGAGCCAAGAUCGCGCCAUUGCACUCCAGCCUGGGCAACAGAGCAAGACUCCGUGUCAAAAACAAAAAAGUAUAUAUAUAUAUAUUUUUAUUAUUUAUUUAUUUGUUUAUUUAUUUGAGAAGGAGUGUCGCUCUGUCAUCCAGGCUGGAGUGCAGUGGCACGAUCUCGGCUCACUGGAACCUCCGCCUCCUGGUUCACGCCAUUCUCCUGCCUCA
rnacentral:sRNA from 1 species